rnacentral:rRNA from 1 species
GGGGAUCUGCCCGAUAGAGGGGGAUAACCACUGGAAACGGUGGCUAAUACCGCAUAACGUCGCAAGACCAAAGAGGGGGACCUUCGGGCCUCUCACUAUCGGAUGAACCCAGAUGGGAUUAGCUAGUAGGCGGGGUAAUGGCCCACCUAGGCGACGAUCCCUAGCUGGUCUGAGAGGAUGACCAGCCACACUGGAACUGAGACACGGUCCAGACUCCUACGGGAGGCAGCAGUGGGGAAUAUUGCACAAUGGGCGCAAGCCUGAUGCAGCCAUGCCGCGUGUAUGAAGAAGGCCUUCGGGUUGUAAAGUACUUUCAGCGGGGAGGAAGGCGAUGGGGUUAAUAACCCUGUCGAUUGACGUUACCCGCAGAAGAAGCACCGGCUAACUCCGUGCCAGCAGCCGCGGUAAUACGGAGGGUGCAAGCGUUAAUCGGAAUUACUGGGCGUAAAGCGCACGCAGGCGGUCUGUUAAGUCAGAUGUGAAAUCCCCGGGCUUAACCUGGGAACUGCAUUUGAAACUGGCAGGCUUGAGUCUUGUAGAGGGGGGUAGAAUUCCAGGU